CCGGGCACAGGACCCCGCACUGUGAGGGUGCCGGCCCCCGUCCCACCAGCCAGCCCCAUCCCUGUCUGCCCAGCGCAGCCGCUGUGUGCAGAGGGGCAUCUGGCCCGCUCCCUGCCUGCUGGACAACCUGCCCUGCCUUUAGAGGGCUCUGCCAUGAUGCCGAGGCGGUGUAUCUGGGCCCUCACAUUCAUGUGGGGACAAAGGAGGACCCACACAGCAGCCCAGACUGGACAUACCCUGAAAGGUUCUACCGGAGAGGACUCGUCUGGAGUGCCCAACAAGGAUUCUGCAUCUGAAGCAGGGGACAGGAAAAGCUACCUGAGAGACCUUUACCAUCCUCUGAACAGGAUACAUCCACAGCCAACCUCACUAGACACCGAGGGGAGGGUGCCUACAGUGUACGUAACCUGGGAGACAGCUGCAUGGGCUUUUAGAUGGACUGAAUGACCUACGACAGGCUGGAGCCUUCUCAAGACAGCACGAGGUCUUGGUCUUUCCUUUCCACCCUAAGUCCCUGAGCCUGGAUGUUUCCCUUGCAGACUUGAGGUCUCCCCUGUGGGGUCUGGGGGGCCGGGGCCCA